UACGUAGGGGGCUAGCGUUGUCCGGAAUCAUUGGGCGUAAAGCGCGCGUAGGCGGCCCGGUAAGUCCGUUGUAAAAGUCAAAGGCUCAACCUUUGAAUGUCAGUGGAUACUGCCGGGCUAGAGUCCGGAAGAGGCGAGUGGAAUUCCUGGUGUAGCGGUGGAAUGCGCAGAUAUCAGGAGGAACACCAACGGCGAAGGCAGCUCGCUAGGACGGUACUGACGCUAAGGCGCGAAAGCGUGGGGAGCGAACAGG
rnacentral:rRNA from 1 species